rnacentral:snoRNA from 1 species
AAGUCUCUUAACAUGAUGAUAGUAUACCGGUUAAUGCAUAGUUCAACUGACAUUUUGAUUGAAGAUAAAAAUUACCAUUGAUUUUAGUCUUUCGCUCCUAUCUGACUAGAGACGU